rnacentral:rRNA from 1 species
AAACCAACUGGGAUUACCUUAGUAACGGCGAGUGAAGCGGUAAAAGCUCAAAUUUGAAAUCUGGUACUUUCAGUGCCCGAGUUGUAAUUUGUAGAAUUUGUCUUUGAUUAGGUCCUUGUCUAUGUUCCUUGGAACAGGACGUCAUAGAGGGUGAGAAUCCCGUUUGGCGAGGAUACCUUUUCUCUGUAAGACUUUUUCGAAGAGUCGAGUUGUUUGGGAAUGCAGCUCAAAGUGGGUGGUAAAUUCCAUCUAAAGCUAAAUAUUGGCGAGAGACCGAUAGCGAACAAGUACAGUGAUGGAAAGAUGAAAAGAACUUUGAAAAGAGAGUGAAAAAGUACGUGAAAUUGUUGAAAGGAAGGGCAUUUGAUCAGACAUGGUGUUUUUGCAUGCACUCGCCUCUCGUGGGCUUGGGCCUCUCAAAAAUUUCACUGGGCCAACAUCAAUUCUGGCAGCAGGAUAAAUCAUUAAGAAUGUAGCUACUUCGGUAGUGUUAUAGCUUUUUGGAAUACUGUUAGCCGGGAUUU